GCUUGUCUCAAAGAUUAAGCCAUGCAUGUCUAAGUAUAAACGACUUUAUACAGUGAAACUGCGAAUGGCUCAUUAAAUCAGUUAUAGUUUAUUUGAUAAUACCUUACUACUUGGAUAACCGUGGUAAUUCUUGAGCUAAUACAUGCGAAAAAUCUCGACUCACGGAGAGAUGCUUUUAUUAGAUCAAAACCAAACGGCUUCGGCCGUCUCAUUGGUGACUCUGAAUAACUUUGGGCUGAUCGUAUGGCCUUGUGCCGACGACGUUUCCUUCGAAGGUGUGCCCUAUCAACUGUCGACUGUGAUAUAGACGCUCACAGUGGUUUUGACGGGUAACGGGGAAUCAGGGUUCGAUUCCGGAGAGGGAGCCUUAAAAACGGCUACCACAUCCAAGGAAGGCAG
rnacentral:rRNA from 1 species